GAUGAACGCUGGCGGCGUGCUUAACACGUGCAAGUCGAACGAUGAAGCCCAGCUUGCUGGGUGGAUUAGUGGCGAACGGGUGAGUAACACGUGAGUAACCUGCCCUUGACUCUGGGAUAAGCCUGGGAAACUGGGUCUAAUACUGGAUAUGACUUCUCAUCGCAUGGUGGGGGGUGGAAAGAUUUAUUGGUCUUGGAUGGACUCGCGGCCUAUCAGCUUGUUGGUGAGGUAAUGGCUCACCAAGGCGACGACGGGUAGCCGGCCUGAGGGGGUGACCGGCCACACUGGGACUGAGACACGGCCCAGACUCCUACGGGAGGCAGCAGUGGGGAAUAUUGCACAAUGGGCGCAAGCCUGAUGCAGCGACGCCGCGUGAGGGAUGACGGCCUUCGGGUUGUAAACCUCUUUCAGUAGGGAAGAAGCGAGAGUGACGGUACCUGCAGAAGAAGCGCCGGCUAACUACGUG
rnacentral:rRNA from 1 species